rnacentral:lncRNA from 1 species
UAUAUACAAAAAAAAGAAAAAAAAAGAAAAAAGAAAAGAAAUAAAAAAAAGAAAAAUGAAAAAAAAGAAAUGCUGAAAAGAAAAAAAAAGAAUAAACACCGUGGCAUGCUUGUCUAGUUUUGUGGCCUUUGUUACUUGAGUAAGUAAGCCCGAGGGGAUUGUCUUUACACCUAGCGCCCUAAGGUCUUAAUGGCUUAGGAGUCGUUGGUUGAAAGCUCGUUAAGGUAGCAUUGAAAUGCCUAAGGGAAUAAGACAUUUCACAGCCAUGAGAAAAAAAAAAUGAAUAAAACACGAGAAAGAGCAAAAAUGCCCUCGUGGUUGAAUAAAAGUAUAAAUAAAUCCUGUAUUUACCUUAAGACUUGGUAAUUGCUUAGUUUUAACCGGAGUUGUCAUGUUCACAAAAGUAAUUGAAUUGGAACUGAAAUUUUCCUUCUAAGAAGUUUGUUAUGUGAUUAUCUUGAAUUAUGGUUGGUUAGAAUGGUUAACAAGCACACAAGCACAACAUGGGUG